rfam:Schistosoma curassoni strain Dakar, Senegal genome assembly, scaffold: SCTD_scaffold0000053
ACCCAGCGGAAGAGUCGAAAAUAGGACGAAACACGCGUCCUGGAU